rnacentral:lncRNA from 1 species
UGGAGGAUUGUGGUGGUGGAAAUUGUGCUGCUGCUGUUGUGGGGGAGGGUUAUUUUGAGGGAUUUGUUGCUGGUGAAGUGAAAUAUCUAGACCUAGCAUUGCUGCUGAAGACGAUGUUAUCCCGCUUCCUGAAAACAACCCAUUCUGUUCCAUUCAGAGGAAUCCUAUCCCCUUCGGAAAAAAGGAAACACUUAACAAAAUCAAACAAAGCUCUGCACUCUACACUGGAUACUUUCUUCUCUUUCUCCCAAAUAAACAAAUUGAAUAUAUUAUGCCGGAUUGGCCUCGUAACACUGAAUUCGACAGAAAGGUAACAGAAUUACCUACCCAGUUGAUGAAAUGAUUGGGAGAAGUAAACGUGGUCACGUAGGGAAGGUGUUCGACGAAAAGCCGCGGAGAGAAAUGGUGGAUUGCUUGCUAACUAACUAUGCCCAAUUGAAAGCGGGGAAGGUGCUGGCCGAAAAGCUGCAGAGAGAGAGAGAGAGGCGAUGGAUUGCUGCUAGC